UGCGGAAGGAUCAUUAUCGUACAACCGAGGUGCGAGGGCUGUCGCUGACCUUCAAAGGUCGUGCACGCCCGAGCGCUCUCACACAAAUCCAUCUCACCCCUUUGUGCAUCACCGCGCGGGUCCCCCCUUUGCAGGAGGGCUCGCGUUUUCACACAAAAUUUGAUACAGUCUAGAACGUUUGUUUUUGCGGUCACACGCAAUCAAUACAACUUUCAACAACGGAUCUCUUGGCUCUCGCAUCGAUGAAGAACGCAGCGAAAUGCGAUACGUAAUGUGAAUUGCAGAAUUCAGUGAAUCAUCGAAUCUUUGAACGCACCUUGCGCCCCUUGGCAUUCCGAGGGGCACACCCGUUUGAGUGUCGUGAAAUCCUCAAAACCCCCCUUU
rnacentral:misc_RNA from 1 species